UUUUAAAGACUUUUAAUGAGUUUAAAAGUCUAGAGGUAUUCAACUAUGACUUUUAAAUAGUCUAUAAAAGUACAAUGGUAUUCAAUUGUGAAUUUAAAAAGUGUUCAAAAGUUUUGGGGUAUCCAAAAAGUUAAUGACUUUUGAAAACUUUGUUAAAUGAAUGACUUUUCAAUACUUUUAAAGCUAAUUCUUAAUACUAAAAAUCUUGCUAAUUUACCCAAGAUUUUAUCCAUGACUUCGAUCAUUCUAUAGCUGUGCCCAUUGUGAGGGUGCACUAUCAUGUUUGGGUCUCUAGACCCCCUCCCUCUUUGGUUGGUGUACUAUCAAUAAAACCACCACUGUUUAGGAUGGUCUCCCUUGCCCACUGCAGCACUAGGUUUGUACAGAUUAUGGUUGGCUUGUGACGUUCUUGUGGCUUUCUGAAGCAGCAUCUUUCCUAGCUUUCCAAUCUGUAUUCAUGUUCUUUGUAUUUGGUUGUUCCGUUUUCUGUUUGCUCGUAGUCCCACUACAUUUAUCAAUGCUGGAGAUAAAUAUUAGAAGCAAUUUCCUGUGGUUAUACUACUCUAUGAUAAAUAUUAAAGGAUAAAUACUAUUCACAAAAUAAAUAUUAAAAAAAAGUAUAUAAAAGUAUGUAAAACUCUAUGAUAAAAGUAUAUGAAAGUAUAUCACUAACUUUAUAAAGUAUGUAAAAGUCGUUAAGAAUUUGUCAACUCUAUGAAAGUCACUCACAAAAAGUCUUUAAAAGUUAUAAUUGAAUACACCCCCCCUGAAAUACUUUUAUAGAGUUGAUAAAAGUCACUCGUAAAUUGGUAAGAUUUUUGCUAUUAACAAUUAGCCUAAAAAGUAUGGAAAAGUCAUUCAUUUAGUAAGCAUUUUAAAAGUCAUUAACUUUUUGGAUACCACCAAACUUUUAAAGGCUUUUUAAAAGUCACAAUUGAAUACCACCAAACUUUUAAAUACUUAUAACUACUUCUUAAAAGUUACAAUUGAAUACCACUAGACUUUUAUAAACUCUUUAAAAAUUGAAAUUGAAUACUUCCAGACUUUUAAACUCUAUAAAAGUCAUUAAAAGCUUGAAUUGUAUACACCCCUUUAGUUUUUGAGUGCUGCUAAACGAAUCCUAAAAUUAACUAAGUAUAUACCCUACUACCAAACUAUUUAUUGAAUUACUAAUUUACCCUAUAUAAAAUGACCAUAAAGGAUAUAUAUAUUGAAUUAUGAAACAAAUAUAAUUUUAAUAAAUACACUCUACUCACAAUAUUCAACCAUAAUCAAACGUAGAGAAGUUUUGGUGGGUUAAGCAACAAGUUCGGCAACGAUGAAGUAUAUUUUGUUAAAAUGUUUUGUUAAUUAGCUUCGGUACUUAAUUACUUUAAGUAUCUAACGUUGAUGUUUUAUUGACCGACUAGCUGUAAAAGGAAGAGAACCAAGUUUGAUAAUUUUACCGAACAUGAAAGUCUUCUGCCA
rnacentral:lncRNA from 1 species